rnacentral:lncRNA from 1 species
CCAAACCAGAAGAGAAGAGAAACCAAGGAAGAACAAGCCCUAGGUGGGAAAAAUCAAAGAGAAAGUGUUAGAAUUCAAGGAAACAAUCUAGGUAAGUUAAAAUUUCUUUAAUUCUCCUUGAUACCUAGCUUACCCAUGCUUUUGUUCUUGAUUUCCAUGGUUGAAUAUUGAGUUAUCAUGAUGAAUUCAAUUCUGAAAAAUGGGUAUGGAAGAGGAAUUGUUGUUGGAAUAAUUUGAUUUUAGACUAUGUUAGUGUUUAGAGAUAGUUAAGCAUGGUUAUGAACAAAAACACAAAAGAAAUAUUCAAUUUCUCUAGGGUUCCUUGUUGGUUGAACCAUGAGGGCUGAAUAUCAAUGGGAGAUUGCUUUUGUUUCAAGGAAAAUGGCUUGGAAAUAUGAUGAAUUAAGGUGAAACGGUUAUGUAGAAAAAUUUUCGGUGUUAGUGCACCAAAUGACCGAAUUUUUCUAUAAGGAACUAUGAGGGUUCUAAUGCUGAAUUUGGCUUUAUUUAAAUGGUAUGUGGUAAAUUAAGGUAUUAGAGGAGAAAUGGAUUAAUUUGGAGUGAAAUUGGAUGCAUUGGCCAAUUUAUCGGAUGAAAAAUUUACUUAGGCCACUACCGAGUCUAGAUGGCUACCCGUGCAUUUUUCAUUUCAUAUCAUAUAUAUAUCGAGCCUGAAAUAGCUUAUGACUAUUAGACACAAUUUAAUUGGAAUAUGUGUCAUGGAUUAUGGUUAGGUGGUGAGCCAUUGCAUACAGGUAAAGGACUGUACCCGCUGAUUGAAAAUAGGAGUAUUUCUACUCCUAAUACCGGUGAGUGGACUUGCAUUUCAAACUUGUUUUGGGGAAUAUGAAAGGUUUUAUCCAACUUGUCUUAGAAAAUGUACCCUGGGAACAAGCUUUUAGUAAAAUGAUUUUAUAUUGUGAAAAUUUGCUAUACAAUGGUUUAUGUGUUAUCACAAUAUGAUAAACUACAUGAUAUGCAUUGGAUGCUUCUUUGCAUGUUGAUGUGGACCCGGCUAUGUAUGAGUAGGAGUGCAUAUAAGCCAUUGCUGACCCGGCUAUGUGCGAGUAGGAGUGCACAUAUGCCGUUGCUAACCCUGCUAUGUGCGAGUGGGAGUGCACAUAUGCCGUUGCUGACCCGCCUAUGUGCGAGUAGGAGUGCGCAUAAGCCGUUGCUGACCCGGCUAUGUGCGAGUGGGAGUACGCAUAAGCCGUUGCAUAUGAGAUGAUGAUGAUGGGAUGAUGUGCAUGAUGAUGAUGAUGAGAUGGUGUGCAUGUUUAUGAUGGGUAUAUGGUUGUAAAUGCAAAUAUGUAAGCAUUUGUUUUGUUGAAAUUUGGAAGUUUACAUGUGUUACAUGUUGCUAUUGUUAUUUUAGCAGGAUGACUUGUUUUAAGGGAAAAAUGAGACUUUUUCCUUGAUGUUCUGGUUCUCGCUGCAGCGAGAAUGAAGUUCGCUACAGCGAGAAACUUUCUGUCCAUUUUGCUAAC